GAAAGACACGCAGAGAUAAACAAGGCCAGACAUUUAAACAGGAAGAACGUGAAGCUCAAGGAAUUAAUGGGUAGUUUUUAAAGAGCACGCUUCAAGACCCCAAGAAGCUGAAUUGUAGAAGGAAAUGUCCUGGAAGGCUUCAGGCUAUUGGAGGCAGCAAGAAUGGAACUGCAUGCAGAAUUCAGGUUUUUAAGAAUCUGAGUUUUGACUUAAGUUUCUAAAUCUUGCGAUAAUGAGGAAAGGAUUUUAAGUGUGUCUGUCAGCAACGCUCGGUAGAACGAGGUGUAAAACCCUUUGAAGAGUGAGAUCUGAGAGUUGGAUUGAUGUGCCCAGGUUUGGCUUAGCAUGUUGUGUGAAUCCAAGCUUCUGCAAAGGAUUCAAUAAAUCAACAGCUUCUCUCAGCUGUCAGAACUCCUGGUGGUUCUUCUCUUGCAGUAAGGCGUGUGUGUGUAUGUGGGCUUGUGUGUGAUUCAGGGCAGGGUUGCUGAAUGAAGCGAGAGUCAAAAGACUAAGUUCUCAUAUUAGCAAUCUCAAGUGCAACUUUAAAUGUCAAACACAACCUCAGUCCUCAGCUCAAUGAGGAGGGUUAAUUUCAUUAAGAAAGUUGUGAUAAAAGAAAAAAAAAUGCCUUUAUGCGUUUUUUCCCCAGUAACCUUUAUUAGCAAAUUAAGUACCCUUAUAAUUGUUUUCCACAAAACCAAUUUCUGUGAAUACUGGUCAGUAAAAGACAGGUGUGGCUUUGGCUUCACCCUCCCUAACACAUUUCACUUGGACCAAACGGUGCUCCACCACGUACACACAAAAACAACCCAGAGUCCUAACUCAGUUUCUCAGAUGCUUGAAUUCCUCCAAACAGACCACACAACAUCUUGGUGGGCCCAGAUUUUUUUCUGAGGGGGGAGGAAAUCCAACCCUGCCAAACUACCUUGCUAAGGUUCCAAGAGUGGAUAAUCCCACCGGAGGCAAGUUAGGUCAAGUCCCAAAUGAGGCCAUCUUGGAAACCGCCCUGUAAAUGCCG